CAGUCGCCGCGGUAAUACGUAGGGUGCAAGCGUUAAUCGGAAUUACUGGGCGUAAAGCGUGCGCAGGCGGUUUUGUAAGACAGAGGUGAAAUCCCCGGGCUCAACCUGGGAACUGCCUUUGUGACUGCAAGGCUAGAGUACGGCAGAGGGGGAUGGAAUUCCGCGUGUAGCAGUGAAAUGCGUAGAUAUGCGGAGGAACACCGAUGGCGAAGGCAAUCCCCUGGGCCUGUACUGACGCUCAUGCACGAAAGCGUGGGGAGCAAACAGGAUUAGAUCCCCUGUAGUCCCUGUCUCUUAUACA
rnacentral:rRNA from 1 species